GACAGAGGGUGCAAACGUUGUUCGGAAUUACUGGGCGUAAAGCGCGCGUAGGCGGCCCGGUAAGUCCGCUGUGAAAGUCCAGGGCUCAACCCUGGAAAGCCGGUGGAUACUGCCGGGCUAGAGUCCGGGAGAGGCGAGUGGAAUUCCUGGUGUAGCGGUGGAAUGCGCAGAUAUCAGGAGGAACACCUAAGGCGAAGGCGGCUCGCUGGAACGGUACUGACGCUGAGGCGCGAAAGCGUGGGGAGCAAACAGG
rnacentral:rRNA from 1 species